rnacentral:rRNA from 1 species
UUGAGCAGCUCUAUCACCCUUUAGCUCACAGCUGGCAGCCCACUGAAGUUAAGCAAGUGUGAGCCUGGCCAGUACCUGGAUGGGAGACCUCCUUGGAGAAGCUCAGGUUGCUGCUGUGU